UUUUUGCAGUUAGGUUGGUCAAUCGGACCUGAAUACUUGAUCAAACACCUGCAGACUGUUAUGCAGAACAGUCUCUAUACAUGCCCGACCCCAUUACAGGCAAGUUUUGUCUGUGUUACUAUAUAGUUGUACACAAUGCACUCUUCUAUGCAAUGUGUUUGUGACAUACAUUGUACUGCAUAGUAGGAGGCUGUUGGCCAGGGUCUUCUUCGGGACUUUGAGCUGAUGGGUCAACCGACUGCUACUUUGGCGUUAGAGUUGGAAGGGAAAAGAGACCACAUGGCAGCCAUGUUGAGACAGACUGGCAUGACUCCAGUGGUCCUGGAGGGAGGAUACUUCAUGAUAGUGGAUGUCACAGCACUCAAUCAGGACUUGUCACAUAUGGGAGAUGAUGAACCAUAUGAUUACAUAUGAUUUGUCAAAUGGAUGAUAAAAGAGAAGAAACUGGCUGUGAUUCCUGUAACAGCUUUUGUGGGGGAAGAUUCAGUAAAGCAGUUUGAGAAAUACAU